rnacentral:rRNA from 1 species
ACAUGCAGUCGAGCGGACAGAUGGGAGCUUGCUCCCUGAUGUUAGCGGCGGACGGGUGAGUAACACGUGGGUAACCUGCCUGUAAGACUGGGAUAACUCCGGGAAACCGGGGCUAAUACCGGAUGGUUGUUUGAACCGCAUGGUUCAGACAUAAAAGGUGGCUUCGGCUACCACUUACAGAUGGACCCGCGGCGCAUUAGCUAGUUGGUGAGGUAACGGCUCACCAAGGCGACGAUGCGUAGCCGACCUGAGAGGGUGAUCGGCCACACUGGGACUGAGACACGGCCCAGACUCCUACGGGAGGCAGCAGUAGGGAAUCUUCCGCAAUGGACGAAAGUCUGACGGAGCAACGCCGCGUGAGUGAUGAAGGUUUUCGGAUCGUAAAGCUCUGUUGUUAGGGAAGAACAAGUGCCGUUCAAAUAGGGCGGCACCUUGACGGUACCUAACCAGAAAGCCACGGCUAACUACGUGCCAGCAGCCGCGGUAAUACGUAGGUGGCAAGCGUUGUCCGGAAUUAUUGGGCGUAAAGGGCUCGCAGGCGGUUUCUUAAGUCUGAUGUGAAAGCCCCCGGCUCAACCGGGGAGGGUCAUUGGAAACUGGGGAACUUGAGUGCAGAAGAGGAGAGUGGAAUUCCACGUGUAGCGGUGAAAUGCGUAGAGAUGUGGAGGAACACCAGUGGCGAAGGCGACUCUCUGGUCUGUAACUGACGCUGAGGAGCGAAAGCGUGGGGAGCGAACAGGAUUAGAUACCCUGGUAGUCCACGCCGUAAACGAUGAGUGCUAAGUGUUAGGGGGUUUCCGCCCCUUAGUGCUGCAGCUAACGCAUUAAGCACUCCGCCUGGGGAGUACGGUCGCAAGACUGAAACUCAAAGGAAUUGACGGGGGCCCGCACAAGCGGUGGAGCAUGUGGUUUAAUUCGAAGCAACGCGAAGAACCUUACCAGGUCNUGACAUCCUCUGACAUCCUAGAGAUAGGACGUCCCCUUCGGGG